AUACUCUUGUAGUUCAUAAGUGGGAUAGCUGGGUGUCCACGUGCAUGCACGAGAUGUGCUAGCCUGAAACCUUGUUAUGAUGUUGGCGCAUUACUCAUCUGACA
ensembl:snoRNA